rnacentral:rRNA from 1 species
AUUGAACGCUGGCGGCAGGCCUAACACAUGCAAGUCGAACGGUAACAGGAAGAAGCUUGCUUCUUUGCUGACGAGUGGCGGACGGGUGAGUAAUGUCUGGGAAACUGCCUGAUGGAGGGGGAUAACUACUGGAAACGGUAGCUAAUACCGCAUAACGUCGCAAGACCAAAGAGGGGGACCUUCGGGCCUCUUGCCAUCGGAUGUGCCCAGAUGGGAUUAGCUAGUAGGUGGGGUAACGGCUCACCUAGGCGACGAUCCCUAGCUGGUCUGAGAGGAUGACCAGCCACACUGGAACUGAGACACGGUCCAGCCUCCUACGGGAGGCAGCAGUGGGGAAUAUUGCACAAUGGGCGCAAGCCUGAUGCAGCCAUGCCGCGUGUAUGAAGAAGGCCUUCGGGUUGUAAAGUACUUUCAGCGGGGAGGAAGGGAGUAAAGUUAAUACCUUUGCUCAUUGACGUUACCCGCAGAAGAAGCACCGGCUAACUCCGUG